UGCCAGCUGAAAAGGCUGCUUCUCUUGAUGGUCUCUUGAUACUACAGUCCCUCCAUGUACUGGAGGCUUUUCACUUCUAGGCCUUUCUAGGCACUCUGGUUGCUUCUGACAUCCUUCCCCACCACCCUCUGCUUCCUUCCUUGGCAAAACCUCUGGAAUAAGAUAUUCCUCUGACAAUGUGUGGACUGAAAAUCCAUGCUGAUCCGUUCAUCUGAAGGUGGUUGUCUCAGAUCUGGUCAAGCUCAGCAGUGAUUGAAUAUCGUCACCAUGUGACGGCUGUUUGGGAUCUGUGUGAAAUGCUUGAUGGGUUCAGUG